rnacentral:rRNA from 1 species
CUGCCCCCUGAAUUAUUAUUUAAAUGGCUGCAGUAAAUUGACUGUACAAAGGUAGCAUAAUAAAUAGGUUCUUAAUUAGGAUCUGGAAUGAAAGAUUAAAUAAAAUAUAAACUGUCUAAAAUUUAUUUUUUAAAAUUUAAAUUUUGAGUUAAAAUGUUCAAAUAUUUUUAAGGGACGAUAAGACCCUAUAGAUCUUUAUAAAAUUAAUAUAUAAUAAUAUUUAUUUUAAUGAUUUUAUAUAUUAAUUUUAUUUAACUGGGGUUGUUAAAAAAUUUAAUUAAAUUUUUUAUUUAAAUUAACAUUAAUUAAUGAUAAAUAGAAUUGAUAUAAUAUUAUUUAUGUAAAUUAAAAUAAGUUACCUUAGGGAUAACAGCGUAAUAAUUUUUUAGAGUUCAUAUUAAAAAAAUUGAUUGCGACCUCGAUGUUGAAUUAAAAUAAAAUAUAAAAGUAGAUUUUUAUUAUUU